rnacentral:rRNA from 1 species
CAGUAAGCUCUCUAAAGGUCUAUAAGGCCCUUUAAGCUUUAUAGGGAUAAAACUUGGGUAAGAUAUCUAUUCUGCUGGUAUUUUCUUUUUGCGUGUAGUGUUAAGUAAACAUUAAUACACCCUAGCUUACUGUUUAAUUGGGGCGAUAACCUGUGUGGAAAUUGUUAUCA